rnacentral:rRNA from 1 species
ACACGAACUGCGCAAACGUUAUUCGGAAUCACUGGGCUUAAAGAGUCCGUAGGCGGCUUUGUAGGUGAGGUGUGAAAUCCCACGGCUCAACCGUGGAAUUGCGCUUCAAACCACAUCGCUAGAGGGAGAUAGGGGAGAGCGGAACUCACGGUGGAGCGGUGAAAUGCGUUGAUAUCGUGAGGAACAUCAGUGGCGAAGGCGACUACCUGGACUAACAUUGACGCUGAGGUGCGAAAGCGUGGGGAGCAAACAGGAUUAGAAACCCCAGUAGUCC